rnacentral:rRNA from 1 species
UUUAAUAUGAGAGUUUGAUCUUGGCUCAGGAUGAACGCUGGCGGCGUGCCUAAUACAUGCAAGUCGAACGAACUUCCGUUAAUUGAUCAGGACGUGCUUGCACUGAAAUGAGAUUUUAACACGAAGUGAGUGGCGGACGGGUGAGUAACACGUGGGUAACCUGCCCCAGAAGCAGGGGAUAACACCUGGGAAACAGAUGCUAAUACCGUAUAACAGAGAAAACCCCCUGGGUUUCUUUUAAAAGAUGGCUCUGCUAUCACUUCUGGAUGGACCCGCGGCGCAUUAGCUAGUUGGUGAGGUACCGGCUCACCAAGGCGAUGAUGCGUAGCCGACCUGA